UAGAGUUUGAUCCAUGGCUCAGGACGAACGCUGGCGGCGUGCUUAACACAUGCAAGUCGAGCGGAAAGGCCCUUCGGGGUACUCGAGCGGCGAACGGGUGAGUAACACGUGAGCAACCUGCCCCAGGCUUUGGGAUAACCCCGGGAAACCGGGGCUAAUACCGAAUAUGACCUCUGACCGCAUGGUUGGUGGUGGAAAGUUUUUCGGCUUGGGAUGGGCUCGCGGCCUAUCAGCUUGUUGGUGGGGUGAUGGCCUACCAAGGCGACGACGGGUAGCCGGCCUGAGAGGGCGACCGGCCACACUGGGACUGAGACACGGCCCAGACUCCUACGGGAGGCAGCAGUGGGGAAUAUUGCACAAUGGGCGGAAGCCUGAUGCAGCGACGCCGCGUGAGGGAUGACGGCCUUCGGGUUGUAAACCUCUUUCAGCAGGGACGAAGCGUAAG
rnacentral:rRNA from 1 species